AAGGCAUCGUCAAUGGUUCACCUUGACUGCCGAUCUGGCAGGGUUUGGAAUCAACGAGGAGAUGUACCUCUGGGUGGGUCUGUGAAGGAAUUUCCAGGAAGGAAUAGCCAAGGUGGGGAAUGCAUCUUUGGAUCGCAGUGAAUCUAACAUACUUCAAAAGAAAAUUGAAAAAUAAAACCUAUAGAUGCAGUAAUUUGAAACUUCAUCUGAAAGAGACACUCAAGCCAAAGAGAGUAGAAGAAAGUGACAACAGAAAAGGACGUUCAUCUACAGGAUGUGAAAAUUCUUCAUAAAGUCAAAAAACGUAAGAUAUAACAAAGCCGUCUAUGCCAGAAAAGACAGGGUUUCUCUGCUGCACUGUCUAGCCUGGAACUUGAUAUAUAGACCAGGUCUAUGAGGAGUCACUGCUCAUCUCUUGAACAGUCUCUGCCUUGCUGGUCUUUAUGAUUGGUGCUCAUUUCUGAGGUUAUAGAGCCAUGAUGAUCCCCCAAAUUCCUCGCCUCUUGCUCUACAUGAUGAUAUAUGGCAUUGCUUUAGUUGUCUAUCCAGAGUUAAAUGACCCUUGGCCAAAUGUCUCGACAAACAUCAACUCCAGAUGUUAGAUCCUUGGGAGUGAGUCCUAACUCGUCCAUACCCACUACUCUGUCUGGGCUUUCUGCAAUCCAAUAGUCUUCCUUGAAGGCAAUAAUUAACUGAGUGCUAUCACAUGCUUACAUAAUACAACAGUGGUGCCAUUCUGUAUUAUUUUGGAGAAAAUGAAAUCUGAAUUCCUCAUUUGAGCUCCAAGUUCUAGUAACUUCAAUUAAAUAAAUAAUCUUUCAG